CUUCGGUUUGCCUCCUCCCAGUGAAGUGGAUUUGCUCCCGACCAGCUUUUGGGGCGUGCCUGCUUCCUCCUCUCUGUCAGGUGAGUGAAUAGGUGUCAUUCUUCGCAGUCGUCCUCUGCCUCUAGCGUCCCGGCAUCUCCUGGUGCUUGGUCCUCUACCUGGAGUCACCUAUGCAGCGGAAUUCCGCGGGGCGGGGGCGAGGACGUGCGGGGGUCUUUAUGGCAGCCAAUCCCCGGCUGAGCGCUUGGCCAGAGUUUCUGUGAUGCUAGAAUCUGGACUGCCUGCGACCUCUACAGGACUCGGACACCAACCCUCGCUUCCUGGUGAUCUUUCAGGGCCUGCAGAGAAGCGAAGAGGUAUUGGACGUGGCCAGGGUCAAUAGUGUGAAGCCGGAAUUAGAACUGAAUUGAAAUGCCUCGGUUUUGAUAUCGCUGUGUUUAUCUUGAGGCAACUGCUUUUCCUCCUCUGGGCCUCUCAGUUUUCCAUCUAGUCUCGCUCUGUCACCCAGGCUGGAGUGAAAUGGCACAAUCUUGGCUCACUGUAACCUCCGCCACCCAGGUUCAACUGAUUCUCGUGCCUCAGCCUCCUGAGUAGCUGGGAUUACAGCUUGAGCAACUGAAUGGAUAUUGGUGCCCAUCUCAAUUAAACUCUGUUGAACCCAGCUGACAGUGAGCAGAGGAAGAACAUUUAAAUGGAGAAUCAUAGUAACGCUAAUACUUUCUUUUAUUCUUUCUUUCUUUCUUUCUUUUUUUUUUUUUUUUUUUUUGAGACAGAGUCUUGCUCUGUUGCCGAGGCCGGAGUGCAGUGGUGCAGUCUUGCUC